rnacentral:rRNA from 1 species
UACGUAGGGUGCAGGCGUUAAUCGGAAUUACUGGGCGUAAAGCGUGCGCAGGCGGCUUUGCAAGACAGAUGUGAAAUCCCCGGGCUUAACCUGGGAAUGGCAUUUGGGACUGCAAGGCUGGAGUUUGGCAGAGGAGACUGGAAUUCCUGGUGUAGCAGUGAAAUGCGUAGAUAUCAGGAGGAAUACCGAUGGCGAAGGCAGGUCUCUGGGCUAUAACUGACGCUCAUGCACGAAAGCGUGGGGAGCAAACAGG